AUGCAAGUCAUGGGGGCCCGCAAGGGCAACCGGCGAACGGGUGCGUAACACGUGAGCAAUCUGCCGAUUUCUGGGGGAUAGCCGGCCCAACGGCCGGGUAAUACCGCAUACGUUCUCGAGGGGGAGUCCUCUUGAGAAGAAACCUCCGGGGGAAAUCGAGGAGCUCGCGGCCUAUCAGCUAGUUGGCGGUGUAAUGGACCACCAAGGCUAUGACGGGUAGCUGGUCUGAGAGGAUGGCCAGCCACAUUGGGACUGAGAGACGGCCCAGACUCCUACGGGAGGCAGCAGUGGGGAAUCUUGCGCAAUGGCCGAAAGGCUGACGCAGCGACGCCGCGUGUGGGAUGAAGCUCUUCGGGGUGUAAACCACUGUUGCCCGGGACGAACAUCCUCUUUCGAGAGGACUGACGGUACCGGGUGAGGAAGCACCGGCUAACUCCGUGCCAGCAGCCGCGGUAAUACGGAGGGUGCGAGCGUUGUCCGGAAUCACUGGGCGUAAAGGGCGCGUAGGUGGCCUGUGGAAGUCUGCGGUGAAAGCCCGGCGCUCAACGCCGGGUCGGCCGUGGAUACUCUCGGGCUCGAGCUUACUAGAGGCAGAUGGAAUUCCGGGUGUAGCGGUGGAACGCGUAGAGAUCCGGAAGA
rnacentral:rRNA from 1 species